GACAGAGGUGCCGAGCGUUAGGCGGAAUCACUGGGCUUAAAGCGUGUGUAGGCGGGUCGUUAAGUGCUUUGUGAAAUCCCACAGCUCAACUGUGGAACUGCUUGGCAUACUGGCGAUCUUGAGCCAACUAGGGGCAACCGGAACAAACGGUGGAGCGGUGAAAUGCGUAGAUAUCUGGAGGAACACCGGGUGGCGAAGGCGGCAUCCUGGACCGAUACUGACGCUGAGGAGCGAAAGCCAGGGGAGCAAACGGG
rnacentral:rRNA from 1 species